AAGCCCGGAUGUGAAAAUGUGGAGGGAGCUGCAGUUACCUCCUUUGUAUUGUUUGCAUUAUGAGUAUCGAUAGAAAUUACAGAGUCUAGGUUACUGUCCUAAUCGAAUAGUGAAUCACAUAAUUUGUUUGCAUGUGAUUCCUUUCUGAAGUUGUAUGAGGUCAGUGUUUUUCUUAUACGAUACCACAGGGAAGCGAGUAACUAAGAAUCUAGGCCUAUAAGGGUUUGAUUUUUCUCCCUUUCUGAUUUUUUUACGGUGCCUUGUCAGCAUGACGUGUAUGGUGCUUUGGUUUUACUUUUGUGCGUGAUCUUUUUAGGUGGAGAGGUCUGACGUACGACACGUUUUGGAUUUGUUUUGGAGUCCACCGCUUUGACCGUCUUCUGACGCUUUGACUGUUUCCAUCGUAGGUGACAUGUGCUUUCUGAUUUUGACUGUUUCUCCUUGUUUGCCAUGUAUCAUGUUUGCAUAUCAGUUUGUUUGGACCGAUUUUUCUGGGCUCUUCUUGUGGUACGGGUGUGUUCCUUUCUUUUUUCUUCUGCUGCCUAAAGUCCUUAAUGGCGUUAGAUCUUCUGGUCGAUCUGUUCCAAGUCACUCUGAAUAUAUUCCUUAUGCUACUUCUGGCGGUGGAUCUUCUGGUCGAUCUGUUCUAAGCGCCGCUCAAUAUGUUCCUGGACCUAGGGAGCUCACUGGUGCUGUUGAUUUAAGAAGUCAGUACAAAUUGCAGCCGCACCAUGAUUUCUUUUGCAAGAGGCCUUUGCCACUUGCAAUCUCAGAUACACAUUACCUUCACAAUGUUGUGGGGGACACUGACAUUCGGAAAGGAGAAGGAAUGAAGCUAGAUCAACUCGUUCAGAAUACUUAAGGGAUAAGCCUGCUUAUAUUCAGCCCUUUGAUAUGGAAACACUGGGGCAAGCAUUUCAGCUUCGAGAAACUGCUCCAGUAGAUUUACCCUUUGCAUACCUACUAUUUCGGGCAAACCAAAAAGUGAGUCCAAGGACAAAGCCAAAAAACAUAAAAAGCAAAGACAAAGAUAAAGACAGGGAGCAUAAGAAGCACAAACAUCGACAUAAGGAUCGGUCUAAGGACAGACAAGGACAAGGAUAAGAAAAAGGAUAAGAAGCAUCAUGAGAAGAAGAGGAAGCAUGAGGGGACAGAGGACUCGGCAGACGUGCAUAAGCACAAAAAAAGCAAGCAUAAGAGUUCCAAAAUCGAUGAGAUGGGUAAUGCACUUAGUUAGCUACAGUUUUCUUCUUACUUCUACUGUCAACCAGUGUCAUAUUCUGUUAGAAGGAGGCUCAAAAGGUUUCCGUCACCAGACCCGCUGCAGAUCAAUUGGUACGCGCUUCUUGAACUUCUAUUUGCUGUUGGGUAGAUGCAUAAAUGCUUUUCUUAAUUCUGUCUUUCAGUGAAACAUGAAUUGAAAUGUUUCAGAUUUAAGCUGCAUAGUGAGCUUGUGUUUUUAGGUCAACCUAAGAGUUUAUUUUAUUGUUUGGAGCCUAAAUGAUGAAUAUUUUAACAUUUGGCGAAUUAUUUAUUAGCCAUUCAAGUGAAUAAGAUCUGCCUUUUGCCUGACUUUGCCAAUAUUAGUCUGGUUUGAUUUUGUCUGCAUCUGUACAAUAUGUGAUGUUAGGCAUGGUUGCCCGGACAUUACUUUAUGUCCACCAUCAGUUUUGGACCUGG